rnacentral:rRNA from 1 species
CUGGAGGUAUCAGAAGUGCGAAUGCUGACAUAAGUAACGAUAAAGCGGGUGAAAAGCCCGCUCGCCGGAAGACCAAGGGUUCCUGUCCAACGUUAAUCGGGGCAGGGUGAGUCGACCCCUAAGGCGAGGCCGAAAGGCGUAGUCGAUGGGAAACGGGUUAAUAUUCCCGUACUUGGUGUUACUGCGAAGGGGGGACGGAGAAGGCUAUGUUGGCCGGGCGACGGUUGUCCCGGUUUAAGCGUGUAGGUGUGUGUUCCAGGUAAAUCCGGUUCACUUUAACACUGAGGCGUGAUGACGAGGCACUACGGUGCUGAAGCAACAAAUGCCCUGCUUCCAGGAAAAGCCUCUAAGCAUCAGGUAACAUCAAAUCGUACCCCAAACCGACACAGGUGGUCAGGUAGAGAAUACCAAGGCGCUUGAGAGAACUCGGGUGAAGGAACUAGGCAAAAUGGUGCCGUAACUUCGGGAGAAGGCACGCUGACACGUAGGUGAAGUGAUUUACUCAUGGAGCUGAAGUCAGUCGAAGAUACCAGCUGGCUGCAACUGUUUAUUAAAAACACAGCACUGUGCAAACACGAAAGUGGACGUAUACGGUGUGACGCCUGCCCGGUGCCGGAAGGUUAAUUGAUGGGGUCAGCGCAAGCGAAGCUCCUGAUCGAAGCCCCGGUAAACGGCGGCCGUAACUAUAACGGUCCUAAGGUAGCGAAAUUCCUUGUCGGGUAAGUUCCGACCUGCACGAAUGGCGUAAUGAUGGCCAGGCUGUCUCCACCCGAGACUCAGUGAAAUUGAACUCGCUGUGAAGAUGCAGUGUACCCGCGGCAAGACGGAAAGACCCCGUGAACCUUUACUAUAGCUUGACACUGAACAUUGAGCCUUGAUGUGUAGGAUAGGUGGGAGGCUUUGAAGUGUGGACGCCAGUCUGCAUGGAGCCGGCCUUGAAAUACCACCCUUUAAUGUUUGAUGUUCUAACGUGGACCCGUGAUCCGGGUUGCGGACAGUGUCUGGUGGGUAGUUUGACUGGGGCGGUCUCCUCCUAAAGAGUAACGGAGGAGCACGAAGGUUGGCUAAUCCUGGUCGGACAUCAGGAGGUUAGUGCAAUGGCAUAAGCCAGCUUGACUGCGAGCGUGACGGCG